GCAACGCGAAGAACCUUACCAGGUCUUGACAUCCCGCUGACCGCUAUGGAGACAUAGCUUUCCCUUCGGGGACAGCGGUGACAGGUGGUGCAUGGUUGUCGUCAGCUCGUGUCGUGAGAUGUUGGGUUAAGUCCCGCAACGAGCGCAACCCUUGUUCUUAGUUGCCAUCAUUUAGUUGGGCACUCUAAGGAGACUGCCGGUGACAAACCGGAGGAAGGUGGGGAUGACGUCAAAUCAUCAUGCCCCUUAUGACCUGGGCUACACACGUGCUACAAUGGACGGUACAAACGGUUGCCAACCCGCGAGGGGGAGCUAAUCCGAUAAAACCGUUCUCAGUUCGGAUUGUAGGCUGCAACUCGCCUACAUGAAGCCGGAAUCGCUAGUAAUCGCGGAUCAGCAUGCCGCGGUGAAUACGUUCCCGGGCCUUGUACACACCGCCCGUCACACCACGAGAGUUUGUAACACCCGAAGUCGGUGAGGUAACCCUCUGGGAGCCAGCCGCCGAAGGUGG
rnacentral:rRNA from 1 species